GCCGAUUAAAAAGUUACGUGAGCUGGGUUCAAACCGUCGUGAGACAGGUUGGUCCCUAUCUACCGCAGGCGCAGAGUUUUGAGGAGAUUUAUUCCUAGUACGAGAGGACCGGAAUGAACCAACCUCUGGUGUAUCAGUUGUCCUGCCAAGGGCAUUGCUGAGUAGCCACGUUGGGAACGGAUAAGCGCUGAAAGCAUAUAAGCGCGAAACCGACUCCAAGAUGAGAACUCUUAGAUUUCCCCGAGAUGAGGGGAUUGAUAGGCUCCAGGUGUAAGUCCCGUAAGGGAUUCAGCCGGGGAGUACUAAUAAAUC
rnacentral:rRNA from 1 species